UGAGGUACAGAGAAGAAAUGUCACAGAAGAAGCAGACACCCUACCACUUUGAGGCUGAAGGGUUGAGGAAAAAAUAUGGAAGCUCACAAGAAACAAGAAGGUCAGAUUCGGAUCCCAUAUUUCCCAUCCCAUCUCUGAUUCCUCCUCUAGGACCACUCUUCAGGAAGUGAAAAAGUCAUGGAGAAAAAUUGACAGUGGCAGGCCACCAGAUGCGUGAAACUGAGAAAAAGCUCAUGGCAUUCCGGGCCUGGAAACUGGAGACCCAGAAUCACCUAGAAUCAUCCUCAGUGGGGCAACACAGAGGCAUUAAAGUACCAGAAGAAUUAUGAGGCCAGGGGUUGAGAUGAAAAGAUCACUGCAAGCAGAUCAUUUCAUAAAGAGACAAAUAGCUAAAGCCAGUAUUACACCCCAAGAGCAGGGGGAACAUAACAACAUAGCAGGAUCCAGCACAGACAGCAGACCAGCUCAGCCUCUCUGCAGAUAUCAACAAGGAUCCAGAAGGCACUACAUCGAUUCAGGCACCCUUCCUUUCUCUACCGUCAAAUCAUGUAAGCCAAACAACCAGAUGCCAUCUUGAAGAAUAAGAUCCUGCCACAAAGAAACAAAAAUGGCCACCAGAGAAAAGACUGUGAAUCACGGUGCCAACCCCCAGGUCAGGAGGAUCAAUGCACCCAUGAUCCAUAGGAAGAGAAUCCGUGGCUAUGGUACUGCUUUUUCUUCCUGAAAAAGAUGAGUACUACUGGAGAGGAGAGGGGAAGAGGAAAAAUUGGUGUCUGAAGCUGCCAGAUGGAAACCAGAGAAGAGUAAACAACAAGGGAUCUUCACGGAUGGACACACACCAUGCUUCGCUCGGCUGUUCCAGGCAGUGACCCAUCAGUACAUGUCACUCAGGGAAGAAGAAAGCACAGUGGUAGAUCCUGGCACCAACAGCAGAGCAUCUCCCUGAACGACAAGCAGCUGGGCUGGAACAAAGCCAGGGGAAGGAAUGCAAUCUCUUUGGGGAAAAAAAAAAAUUACAACACAUCUUCCCAUUUUGACAGCCCAGGGAAAAGAGGCAGCUAUAUCGAAGAAAGCAGCAAAUGCGCUUUGAGAUCUUCCAAUGAGAAGCAGCGGAGAAGCACACCCUAUUAUUGUGCAAAACCCCUACUUAGAUGUACACCCAGAGCUUUGGCCCUCGCCCGAAUGUGCUGUUAAAAGGAGAGGAGUUUGACUAUUUUUCCCUGAUGGGCACAUAAAAUUCUUUCUUUUCUCUGGGUUUGGCUGGUGCUGCUACAGCUGUUGCUGAAGAAAGCCCCUGAAUAAGAAUUUCUCCAUUGCAACCUGAACAUGUUCACCCUUCUAAGAA